GAGGAAAGUCCGGACUCCACAGAGCACGGUGGUUGCUAACGGCAACCCGGGGUGACCCGCGGGCAAGUGCAACAGAAAGUAGACCGCCUUGUGCCUCCACUUGCGUUUCGGCUCAAGUUGGGGACACAAGGUAAGGGUGAAACGGUGCGUUAAGAGCGCACCAGCAUCGUCAGUGAUGGCGGUGGCUGGGUAAACCCCACCGGGAGCAAGGCAUCACGGCCCUGCCACGUUGCAGGGCCCGAUCAGGCGUUUUAAGGCUGCUCGCCCGAGCCUGAAGGUAGCUGCUGGAACCAACUGGCAACGGUUGGUCUAGAUGGAUGUUCGCCGCGCGGCGUUCCGCUUAAUGGGGCGCUGCGGUUAGACAGAAUCCGGCUUA
rnacentral:RNase_P_RNA from 2 species